GGUUCAGGAUGCGCCUGCGCACUGUCCCAAAGAGUGAAACUUUAUGUAACAGUUUGCAUAAGCUUUUCAGGAGUACACUGAAAUGUUAGGUGUGGUUAUUGUUGGGAUUGGCACUGCUGGCAGAGUUCGGGUCCGUGAUCUGCUGAAUCCGUUGACAAACAGCGCCAUAGAAAAGCUUAAACUCAUGGGUUUUGUCUCCAGAUGUAGGCAUUAUUUGCUACACCAGUAUUUAUUGGCCAUUCCUAGUUUCCCUUGAGCAGGUUGUGGGGAGCAGCCUUCUUCAGUUGUUUCAGCCCUUGGGAGUUCCAGGAUUCUGACCCAGUGACACUGAAGAAAAGUCAUACCGGAUUCCAAAUGUAAGCUCUGUUUCUCUCUCCACAGAUGCUGCCAAGAUUGCUGUGUUUCUCCAGCAUUCUGUGUGUUUGUUAGUGAAUUUCUUUCAUAAUGCCAGUUGUAGCAACCAUACAAAUGUGUCUAAUAAUUACUAAUGAAAAGUGUAGUGCCAAAUCAAGUGAGGACAGAAUUGGGUUCACAUAUGAACAGACAGAUUGCCAAUAAUUAGGUGCUGUUUGCUGAACUGGUCGUUCUUUGUGAGGAGAAAGUGAGGAUUGCAGAUGCUGGAGAUCAGAGCUGAAAAUGUGUUGCUGGAAAAGCGCAGCAGGUCAGGCAGCAUCCAAUGAACAGGAGAAUCGACGUUUCGGGCAUAAGCCCUUCAGGAAUUGUGAGGAAUUCUUUGUGAGGAGCAGUAUUUGUAGAAAAUGAGGGUAGGGCUCACAGUGCUUUAUUUUCCAUCUAUUUACUUCAAAUGGCAAAAAAUGAGGCAUAUUAGACCUGUGAUUUCCUGAAGACAGACAUUGUGCCAACCUUGUCAGUGAAUCAGCCACUUGUAUCUUAGCUCCCAUAAAUCAGUGGGCAGUUUGAUAACAUCAGUAAAAAUCUAGGCUGUGGCAAAGCUUAAAGAGAGAACUGCAAUGUUUUGUUUUCUUAUGAUGCUGCAUCAAAAGUCUGAUGUGUAAACGAGUACCAGUGGUACCUAUCACCUGCAGAGAAUGGCAUCUAGCGUCUGCCAAUCCAUCAUGACUAUCAUGAUAUCUUCCUGGUACACAGGCAGACUGCUCAUAAGGUACAAUGUGGUUACAGCAAGGCUGAAGCAGGAACAUUUUGCACAGAGGAACAGGCUCCCACACAGAAAGCCUUAUUGCCUAUCCCUAAUCAAUCCUUUCCUUUCCAAAUACAUGUACGUCCUGUCCCUCAGGAUUCCCCCCAAUGUGUUGGCCCCACAGGACUCAAUUAUCAGGGGCAUUGCCUGUCAUUUAAUCUAAGAGUUAUGGGCAUGGCAAAUGGGGUGUCUGGUCAUGCACUGGGGCUGAUCAUCAAAAACAGUCAUAGAUUUGGGAUGAGUCAUCCAUCCAUGUUUCUGAAGGCUUGACUUGGGGAGAGGGAUCAAUGGCAGAUGUGGGUGAAUGAUUGGGAGGGUACUGUUGUGCUGUACACACAUUCUCACUGAUAAGUGGUGCAUGUUCAGUUGGUGUGGCAUUAUAUAUAUCCCUCAUUAUCUGCAUUCAGCAUUUCUCAGUGUGUGUGAAAAUAUACAUAGCCACUUCUGCAAGGUUCGCCACUAAUGACUGUUCUGACAUUUCAGAAACUUUUUUGCUCCUUUUGUGCCCACGUUUGGUCCUUUUUACACCAAGAUUUCUGUACCCAGCCACUAGUGAUAACUAGGCAGUGACCAACCUAAGGUGAAGACAGAUGCAGAACAAACACAGAUGGCAGCAAGCCCAGGAGCAGCCACUCAUAUCUCUUCCACCCCCCUCCAUUUCCUGGCGAUGAGUGAGGUGCCUAAUUAAUACAGGCUUCAUAUGUCCUGGGACACUGUGAUGAAACUUACCAGAAAUGGGACCGGAGGGCUGCAGGAAUUUAGACUGGCUCCUCUGAGUGCCUGCGAAAGUUACUGCUACACUGAACUUCUUUGUAACUGACUCCUUCCAGGGAGUGAUGGGUGACCGGUUUGGGAUCUCUGUACAAAAACAUCAUGACCGUGACUAUUGCUAUCUGUGUAAGGUCACAUCGGUUCAUUUUAUUCCUAAAGACAACAUCAGUGUUUAGCCUGGGAGUUGGAUUCAGGAGUUUCCUGAACAUAGUGAGUAUCCCUUAUGGCAGUUGCCAUCAACUGCAUGCAUAUGACUCUGAGAAAGCAUUAUCACAGAGCCACAGAAUUCAUCAAUAGGAAGGGGUUCCUCUUCUUUAAUGUUCAGGUGAUCUGUAAUCACUGUUACCGUUUCCUGGAGGUAUUUGUCUGGUACUUUGACAGCAACCUUCUCUCCUACCUCCUGGAGCACGCUGACAUACUUGGU